ACUCAAAGGAAUAGACGGGGGCCCGCACAAGCAGCGGAGCGUGUGGUUUAAUUCGAGGCUACGCGAAGAACCUUACCCAGAUUUGACAUGCAAGUAGUAGUGAAGCGAAAGCGGAACGAUCCUUCGGGAAGCUUGCACAGGUGAUGCAUGGCUGUCGUCAGCUCGUGCCGUGAGGUGUUUGGUUAAGUCCAGUAACGAGCGCAACCCUUAGAGCCAGUUACAAGUGUCUGGCUCGACUGCCGGUCUUAAGCCGGAGGAAGGUGGGGAUGACGUCAAGUCAGCAUGUCCUUUAUAUCUGGGGCUACACACACGCUACAAUGGGCGGUACAAUGGGUUGCCAACUCGCGAGAGGGAGCCAAUCCUCCAAAACCGUCCUCAGUUCAGAUCGCAGGCUGCAACUCGCCUGCGUGAAGUCGGAGUUGCUAGUAAAUGCAGGACAGCCAUACUGCAUUGAAUACGUUCCCGGGCCUUGCACACACCGCCCGU
rnacentral:rRNA from 1 species